GACGAACGCUGGCGGCGUGCUUAACACAUGCACGUCGAGCGGAGCGGCGAACGGGUGAGUAACGCGUGAGUAACUUCCCCCCUCUCCGGGAUAACACUUGGAAAGGGCUGCUAAUACCGGACAGUGGGGGAUGACGCGCGUCCUAUCAGCCCGUUGGUGGGGUAGUGGCCGACCAAGGCGACGAGGAGUAUCCGGCCUGAGAGGGCGACCGGCCACAUUGGGCUGAGAUACGGCACAAACCCCUACGGGAUGCAGAAGUAGGGAAUAGUGCACAAGGGGGGAAACCCUGAUGCAGCAACGCCGCGUGCGGGGUGACGGCCGUCGGGUUGUAGCCCGCUUUCAUCCAUGACGGGGUGGGGGCAGAAGAAGCACCAGCUAACUACGUGCCAGCAGCCGCGGUAAUUC
rnacentral:rRNA from 1 species